AGAGUGUGAUUCAGCCAAGGAUGACUUGCCGGCAGCAGGUAAGAGCAAAGCUCCGUUUUUGGAAGUUCAAGGAUAUCUUAACUUUUCCGGCCGGCAAGCUGUCCUUGGCUACAUUGUACUCUCU
rnacentral:pre_miRNA from 13 species